GCAGGAUGACUGACGAGAGAGGCUGGCUGCUCCCUGGGAGUCAACUCGUCCAGGAGGGAAGAAAGAGCAACUGUAACCCUUGACACAACCCUCACCUCUCCCUAUGACACCUCAGUAAUCACCUGGGCUGGACUUCACUGCAUUGUCUGAUUACAGACACGCUGCAGGAGGUCACUCACCUUCCACCAGGUGAUGCUGAGUCUCAGCAGAGUGACUGGACACUCAUUGCAACACAUCCAACUGUGCCUCUUCUCUGCCGCUGUCACUCAUCCAUCAACCAAGAUAUGUUUCUGCAGCCCAUGAAGGAGGCCUGAGACAUGAUCGGUGAGCAGAACAGAGCUGGCAGUAGCCUGGUCUGCAGCGGGUCACAGCUGUCAAACAGAUCAGCAGGACUUCUCUCUACGCCGGGCCAACAGCUGUCUAUUAAGAAUACUCUGGAUCGUCAUCAGCGGCAAACUCCUCAGCUCACAACUCGCCUCAUUACCGCCCCUUAAUGGAGGGAAGACAGAGACAAGAGGAACGUGCUUCGGUGUUUGGACGGAGGAAGUUUUGGAUCCUUCCUGACAAGUCUGGACUGACUGAUUCCCCCGACAGACUUGGACACGCUGAAUCCCUCGUCAGCGUCCGUGACCUCACUGAUUGGACGUGAACCCAAUGGCUGAAGAGAUUAAGUUCAAAUGAUGCAGCUUCCUCUGGACAUCAUUUCAUUAAAGAUCGUCAGCUUCUUUAAUGUGAGACAAAAUGAGCAGUGUCAAACUCUACUGACCCGUGGUGGUGUUUGAAGGGGGAUGGUCCAGGUCCAGCAGGUCACAGACAGCACAGCGCAGCGAAAGCCUCCUCUCAGACAGGACACGAGAUAGUACGAUUAACGUGGAGGAGACAUAAACACUUAGUCAUCACUGCCUCCUCCUCCACCUUGUGAGUCUCUCGGUCAGUGGGACAGAAAAGAGGGUUUACGGGUGCAAUGUGUGGGUCAGUUUGAUACCUGAGCAGCAGAACUCGGACGCUGCCUUUGUUUACUCUGAGGUGAGGCCAGCAGCCGGACUGAAAGUGAUAUCUUCACUGGUGUUUACUCAACUGCUGUGUCCUAACCUUGGUACCUACGGUGGCUCCCGACAUGAUCCACCUUAAUACUGACAAAUGACUUUCUGACCAGGAAGUCCCAGAAACAGAGGAGGGGGUUGUGGGUAAUCAAUCCAUGAAGAGGAGACUGAAGACAUCAGGGAAUUCCAUCGUUAAGGUGAAGUUCAGCAGCGCACUACUAAUAAUGAAAUAGCUCAUUUUAUCAGCAUGAAAAAGGCAAAUUCCUCCAAGCUCAUCUCUCAGCAAAUUAAACUUUAUGAAAAUGUAAUUUUUACCUUUACCUGCAGCCAGGCUCCACCAGUCUUGUAUAAAGUACCUUAAAGGGAUACUUGAGUAA